GGGUCGUUAGCUCAAUGGCGUAGAGCAGUGGACUUUUACUCCACGGGUUCUCGGUUCGAGUCCGAGGCGACCCA
rnacentral:tRNA from 1 species